CCCAAACUUAUUUCUGUCAUUAAGGUUGUGAAAUUUCGUAUCCUCUGACUACCAUCUUCAUGUCUUCCCCCCACACUGGACAGAGCUCUGGUAAACACCACUCCAUUCUUUUCUUCAAUGGAAACAAUUCUUCAUUCCACACUGGACUGGAAUCACAGUGGAAACAGAAGACAGAUGGUUAAUGAAACCACGUCACUGGAAAAAAAUAUGGGAUAAACACAAAGUGAGGGACCCAAGGAGUUUUCACUCGGAAGCAAUGACUUAGAAUAACAAGAAGCAGAAGCAUUUGAACAUGAAUUUGUAUUGAGGAAAGUGUUUCUGUGUGCCGAGCGGUUAGCUUGCUGUUGUGAGUAUCUCAUGGUUAUUUUACAUUUAUAUAUUUAUUUGUUGUGUCUAUGCAUGCACAUGUACAUGCCGCAGAUCAGAGGACAUUGGCACGAAGAUCAGAGGACAGCUUUUAGAGUCUGUUUUCUCUCUCUACCAUAAGUUACAGGAUUGAACACUGGUUGUCAGCCUUGGAAGCAAGGAUCUUUGCCUACUGAGACAAUUGCUGGCUCUCCUGUGGGAUUCCUUUGUUAAACAGUUCAACCUUCCUACAUGUGCUCUGGUAUGCAGCAUCUCUUUCCAUCAGCGAGAUAGAGAAGGAUACGGAACGUCUACAGCUUGUGAAUGAAAUAUGAGGCAAGGGUUCCAGAAAGCCAAAUGAGAAGAAGGCAUUUGUGUGUUGCAACCGGGAUAGUAAUGUUCACCUAGCCCCGGAUGAGUCUGUGUGUGUUUUGUGUUUUCUGGACAUCCCAGGAUGCUGUGGUGAAACCCAGCCAACAGGAAUCACAGCAACUACAAAGAAAGAAAAAGAGAGAUUAGAAGGACCUAGUGUUCAGCCUACAAACAUUGCAUUUUCAAAAACACUUGGGGUUCUUUUCUUGGUCUGUCUUGCUGGUCAUCUGCUAAUUCCUGCAGUGUUGGACCUCUGUCCUCUCUGCCUCCGUGUCUGGAUUGCUGCUGUGCUCCCUCAGAGCUCCUUCCUGUCGGAAGACCACUCCCGAUUCCUUUAUGCACAUGGCUCCAGGGUAGGUUUUAAAUGGAGGUGGGGUUUUCUCCUUUCUUUCUGUCUCUCAUCUUAGUCCCACGUGGCUUUGAUGACAGAGGAUGGGGACAGCCUUAAUUCUGUACUUCCCUCUGCCCCUACUUUGAAUGCGGUGUUUUGAUCCUCAG
rnacentral:lncRNA from 1 species